CCUACGGGGGGCAGCAGUGGGGAAUAUUGCGCAAUGGGCGAAAGCCUGACGCAGCGACGCCGCGUGAGGGAUGAAGGUCUUCGGAUCGUAAACCUCUGUCAGCAGGGAAGAACGGUCACUGUGCUAAUCAGCAGUGAAUUGACGGUACCUGCAAAGGAAGCACCGGCGAACUCCGUGCCCGCAGCCGCUGUAAUACGGAGGGUGCGAGCGUUAAUCGGAAUUACUGGGCGUAAAGCGCUCGUAGGCGGUAUGUCAAGUCAAGGGUGAAAGCCCCGAGCUCAACGUGGGAACUGCCUUUGAAACUGGCAAACUGGAGUGUGUGAGAGGAUAGUGGAAGUCCAGGUGGAGGGGUGAAAUCCGUAGAUAUCAGGAGGAACACCAGUGGCGAAGGCGACUAUCUGGCACAUAACUGACGCUGAGGAGCGAAAGCGUGGGUAGCAAACAGGAUUAGAUACCCGUGUAGUC
rnacentral:rRNA from 1 species